rnacentral:rRNA from 1 species
UACGUAGGGGCAAGCGUUGUCCGGAUUUAUUGGGCGUAAAGAGCGUGUAGGCGGCCAGGGAGGUCCGUUGUGAAAACUCGAGGCUCAACCUCGAGACGCCGAUGGAAACCCCCUGGCUAGAGUCCGGAAGAGGAGAAUGGAAUUCCUGGUGUAGCGGUGAAAUGCGUAGAUAUCAGGAGGAACACCGGUGGUGUAGACGGCUUCUGGACCGUAACUGACGCU